rnacentral:sRNA from 1 species
CGCAAUUUGCCCGCACCAGGCCACUGGAAAGGGCAGUAUGCGGUUCUUCUAGUGACCGGACGGCAAAAAACCGUACCUGGUCGAGGGA